rnacentral:lncRNA from 1 species
AUAAAACAACUCACUUCAAUUGAGGUUUGAAGAAUCAAUAUCCCAAAAUGCAAUUGGUUUCCAUUUUCCUUUUCAUAUCUUUCCUCUUUUUGUUAAGGAAAUGGAAAAAGUAUUUAAACAAUAGCCAAACCAAAAAAUUGCCUCCAGGUCCAUGGAAACUUCCUUUUAUAGGAAGUAUGCAUCACCUGGCUGGUGGACUUCCACACCGCGUUCUUAGAGAUUUAGCUGAAAAAUAUGGACCACUUAUGCACCUUCAACUUGGUGAAGUUUCUGCAGUUGUGGUUACAUCUCCUGAAAUGGCAAAACAGGUAUUAAAAACUCAUGACAUUGCUUUUGCAUCUAGGCCUAAACUCUUGGCCAUGGACAUUAUUUGUUAUAAUAGACGCGACAUCGCCUUUAGCCCCUACGGUAAGUGUGAGGGUUACAUUUGAUAUGUUUUUUCUCACUGUCUUAUCUAUUGUCGUACAAGUUCUGAUGAUUUCAAUUCUAAUAGGUGAGUACUGGAGACAAAUGCGUAAAAUUUGUAUCAUGGAAGUAUUGAGUGCAAAGAAUGUCCGGUCAUUCAGCUCGAUCAGGCAUGAUGAAGUUGUUCGUCUCAUUGACUCUAUCCAGCCAUGUUUUACUUCUGGUGAGCUGGUUAAUUUUACGGAAAGGAUCAUUUGGUUCACCAGUUCCAUGACAUGUAGAUCAGCAUUUGGACAAGUACUAAAGGAGCAAGAAGUAUUUAUAAAGUUAAUUAGAGAAGUAAUAAGCUUAGCAGAGGGAUUUGAUGUGGCUGACAUCUUCCCUUCAUACAAAUUUCUUCAUGGUUUUGGUGGAGCGAAGAAAAAACUUCUAAAUGCCCAUCGUAAGGUAGAUUCAAUUGUUGAGGAUGUCAUCAAAGAGCAUAAGAAGAACAUUGCAACUCGCAAAAGUGACGAUGCAAUAGGUGGUGAAGAUCUAGUUGAUGUCCUUCUAAGACUUAUGAAUGAUAAAAGUCUUCAAUUUCCAAUCAACAACGACAAUAUCAAAGCUGUUAUUAUUGUAAGUAUUGAAUAUAUACUAUGCUUAUUCUUACUUAUUUAAUUUACUAUUAUAACUUGGCCAUUAAUUGCAGGACUUGUUUGCUGCUGGAACAGAGACUUCAUCAACAACAACUGUAUGGGCUAUGGCUGAAAUGUUGAAAAAUCCAAGUGUAUUCGCCAAAGCUCAAGCAGAAGUGCGAGAAGCCUUUAGAGACAAAGUAACGUUCGAUGGAAAUGAUGUGGAAGAGCUGAAAUACUUAAAGUUAGUCAUUAAAGAAACAAUGAGACUUCAUGCUCCAGUUCCACUUUUGGUCCCAAGAGAAUGUAGGGAAGAAACUGAAAUAAAUGGAUACACUAUCCCCGUGAAGACCAAAGUCAUGGUUAAUGUUUGGGCAUUGGGAAGAGAUCCGAAAUAUUGGGAUGAUGCAGAAAGCUUUAAGCCGGAGAGAUUUGAGCAGUGCUCUAUAGACUUUAUUGGUAACAAUUUUGAGUAUCUUCCGUUUGGUGGAGGGAGAAGGAUUUGUCCCGGGAUAUCAUUUGGUUUGGCUAAUGUUUAUUUUCCGUUGGCUCAAUUGCUUUAUCACUUUGAUUGGAAGCUCCCUACUGGAAUGGAGCCAAAAGACUUGGACUUGACUGAAUCGGCUGGAAUUACUGUUGCUAGAAAGGGUGAUCUUUACUUAAUUGCCACUCCUCAUCAACCUUAAUGGCAUCAACUUUUUAAAUUUUCCUUUGUCAUUUUAUUUCUUGUCUUUUAAUCAAAUAAGAUUGUAUCCGCGUGACAGUUACCCUCAUGUCUGGUCUGUCGAAUAACAUUUUUUGUAACAAUUCAAAAGGGGUAGAAUUUCUGUUAAUUUUGGGUAUAAAUUGACAAAUAAAAGAAGGCAAGAGGAGGAUGGGAGCUGAGGAUUGUUUGUUAUGUACUUGAAUCAGAUUUGUAAGAAAUUAUAUCUCGUGGGAAUAUGUAUGUGAUCAAGAAAGUGUCUUCAGUGCAGCACUAUAACAAUGAUCACAAGUUUUUCAGUGAUUUGUAGGAUUCUAGAUAUAGUAAAAUGUGAUUUGUAAUGUAUUUAUUUGCAAGUGCUUAGUCCUUGCAGAAACAAGAUUUUCAGCCAAGCAAAUCGCUGAUUGAUUGUCACAAUACAAGGUAACUGAGUACCCAACUGGUUGCUGUAAAUCCUGCAUCAACUGCAUAAGCCACGUACUUUAUUGAGCUGCAACUGUUGCUGCCCGAUAGUCUGCUUCAGUUGUUGACAGCGACACUGUUGGUUACCUUUUUCUUUAUUGUCAUUUUUCAUAAUCGUACCCUAACAUAUAUAUAUUCAAUUUAUCCAACAUUAACAAAUUGUUAGAAGGUGAUAAAACUAAUUAUAGUGGAGGAGAAACAGAUUUUACAAAGCAUUUUUCGUUCUUUAAGGUUAACUUUUGCAUUGUCUUCCUUAAUUUUUGUAUUUUCGUUGAAAAUGGCGCGAAGAAUCCAGAGGUGUGUCGUCGGGGGUACGUGAUGAAGUAAUCGAGGCACAAUCAGAUAAGUACAAGAACAUCAUCCCGAAUCAGGGGUAUUUGGGCCAGCUACCGAUCACAUUAAAAGUUUGGGGGCCCUAACAGAUAAGUACAAGAACAUGACUCCUCAUCCCGAAUCAGGGUAUUUGGGCUAGACACCGAUCACAUUAUGAGUUUGGAGGCUCUAAAUUUCCUUCUUUUUUUUCUAAAAGAGGGGGGUUCGAAUUGACAACUCUAACGUGUAAAGCAUUUCCACGGUUUCUUCCUUACCACUGAACCAUCAAUCAUUUUUGUUAGAGGUUCAUAAGUUAAUAUACAUAUAUUUAUUAAUUUUUUAGUUCAAAUCCAUGGUCUACGGAAAAAACUAUUGAUUCGUCUGAAUCCACGAACCCCCACCUAGUUCUACCUUUGAUGGUGAAUAUGGUGCCCAUUUCUCCACAGUGGAUUUUGUGUUGGAACAAAAGACAUUCUUUCGCAAUAUUGAAGAUCUGGAGAAGCCAAUCAAGAUGCAUAAGUAACUCUCUCUUCCACAGUUCCACUAACCAACAUUCCACAAUUUGUCCCCAUACUCCUUUAGGGAAGCAGGUGGAAGAUGUCUAUAUUAUUUGGAUUCUUAAAAAAAUGUCAAUCGAUGCGUGUCAGCUUUUCUAAAAGUAGUGUAUUAUUAGAUAAUCCGAGAUGAAUGCAGCAUCAAAAGUGAAGAGACCGCACAACUUAGGGGGUUGCAGCCUACGGGGAAAGAAAAGUGGAGUGGACAAAGCCCCAUGUACAAAUAACAUCAAAUACAAUGAAUGAUAAGUGAUGUUGCAUAAAAAUGUCGAUAGUGCAAUUGCUCUCAUCAGUACUUUCAGUCCAGAGAUUCAUGACAGUAUCCUCAAUAAAGAGAGACAUGGCGCCAAUCCUAGCUACAAGUAGGGGUGGUAAUUGGGCGAGUUGGGUUAAAGUUGGGCUGGUCAAAAUGGGUUAGGUAACAGAUUAUAAACAAACAAUUUUAUUAAGGAUAUCCAAGAAUAAUGGUGUGUGACUGUCAAAAUAAAACAAAUAAAUUGUGUUAUUUGGGCAUCAAACCCGAAACUUCUUCAUUCAAAUAGACACAUAUUAUCACUAUGACAAAGGCAUAGCUUUUGUCAUCGGUGUCCAACUUUAAAUAUAUAUACUUUAAAUGUAGAAUUUAGCAUAUAUAUACAACAUAAUUUUCGCACAAAGGGUGUCCAGUUGGACACUCUAGGAUAGCUCUAGCUACGGCCCUGCUAACGGGUCAUAACCCAACCCGCCCAAAUUUUACUAAGUUUUAAUAGUUUUAUUUGUUAUUUUAUUAACUUUUAGUACUUAGUAAUUUUUUUUUACUUUAUUAUAACUAAAUAUAACAUAUAAAAAAAUUAAAAAUAUUUUGACAAGAUUUCUCAAAAAUCAAUUUAGGUUACCUAUCAACCCAAUUUUUAAUGGGUUGGAUUUUGAAAUGAGUUGAACUAAUAAAUGGGCGGGUCAAUAACCAACCUAACCUAAAUGGAUUGGUCGGGUUGGAUUUGAUUUUGCCACCCUUACUACAAGUAACAUUAAGAACCAAUUAGUUACCAUAAGAGAUUCUUGUGAAACACAUCAAAAUAGCUUUAUGAGAUUAACACAAUCACUACUAUCAAUGGUGCCAACAAAUGUACAAUGGCGUACGCAUAAUUUUUCGUAAGCGGUGUCGAUAUUUAAAAAUUAAUAAAUAAUAAAUAAUUGAUAUAAUAAUAUUAUAUUAAUAAAAACCAUUUAAAACAUACUAAUAAAACGUAAAUCAAAUAAACUACUAAACUUUCCUCGACGAGUUUUCAUAUUUUGAAAUGUAUUUAUAAUAGACUCAUUGGAGAUAAUAUUAAGUACUAAAUAUUCUAAGUGCAAUUGGAUUAUUUUAGCUUAAUUUGACUAUAAAUAGGAGAUUGGAGGUUCGAAUCCCUAUAAUAUUAAAAAAAAUAAUCUGAAAAUGUCUCAAAAAUAAAAGACAAUUCGGCCUCACUAAGGCUCAAUCUUGGGCCACGCCGGGUGAAUAACCAUUCAUUUCACGCUGCAAACCAACAAGCCAAGAGGCUCAAUUGUUCAGGUAAUGUCAUUAAUGUUAUUUGUAAGGAAAUUUUUAUUUUUUCACUUUUAUAUAUAUAAAAUACUAAAAAAUUUCAACGAGACAGUGCCGAUCAGCACCCCGUGACAUAGGGUGGAUCUGCCACCGACAAAGGUAGUAAAUUGCUACACAUCAUUUCAGACAAUUAAUUGAUUACACAUCCAACAUGGAACACAAAUGUACAUUUUCUGGUUUUCACUCUUAUGAUCUCAUUGAUUUUCCUAACAUCUUUCACAAUCGGUACACUAUCAAUAUAAUUGAUCUGCUUAAAAUUGGGAUCAGAUCAAUAUUGACAUUUUUACUUUGAGAUGCAUCCACUUUACAAUCGAUACAGUAGAAAUGUGUCAUUUUUUUUAUCAAUUAAAAAGAAAAGUAAGUAAUAUAAAAUUGAACAGAAGGAGUAGUAAAAAAUGAAGAAAGCUAAGAGGUAUUUAAAAGGAAAAGGAGUUAAAAUGUAAUUUUAUAAACUCAGGAGUUGAAUUUAAAUUUGAAGUAUUUUGGAGGGUUGGAUACACAUUUUGGACUUUUGGCCAUUAGUGCAAAAAAGUUGUUCACAUAUCACAUCCCUAACAAGGAAAUAGUUGGAAAUUAGUAAGAUUGUGAGUCCUUGAGCACAUGGAGAUAUAAUGAAUUAAAUUUAAAAUUCAAGAACAAAACAAAAGGUGGUUGUUAAAAAGGGAUCCAAAUGAAUGAAAUACAAUUUUAUUUCAUUUUGGGAUAAUAAGACUUAAAAUAACUCUUUAUUGGGAUAGCCUUUUUUUUUUUGUUAAAAGAAAAGAACUCAAAAAUUGUAAAAAUUGCAUUUAUGUUAUGAUACCCUGUCUGGAUAUGUUAUAUGAAAUCAUGAUAUUAAAAUCAGAUUAAUUUUCAGUUGACAUUUUAUUUGAACGUACAAGUUAUAUUUUUUUUCUUAAACAUAAAAAUCUUUGUGAAAAUUAUCAAACUUCCUCCGAUUCUUAAUAUGCAUGGCAACUACUCCUAUACAUACAGAUUAGGCAUUGGCUGUCAAAAGUGGAUGAAAUAAAUGUUGAAUAUGACUUAAAAGAAGAUUCAUCAUUUGUUUUUGUACUUGUCAGCAAAUGCCUACUUGCCUAGCUUCUUUUGUUUAAUUCUAAAAAUGGCAAUAUUUCACUCGUCUCUAAUUCAUAAUAGCCAAUGACACUAGUCAACAAUUCUAGUAAUUAACUAUGUAUUCUUUUCUUAUGGUACGAAUAUUUCUUUACGUUGAACAUGAGUUUUUUUUUAUAUAAAAUUUAAAAUGGAUUUUUUUUUAUAAAAUAUGAAUUUAUGAGUCAAAUUUAUAUUAUUUUUUAAAAAAAAACAUAAUUUUUAGAAAAAUUGGGAUUUAGCCAUGAAUUUUUUUUCACUUUUACUCAAAUUCUUUUUCACUUUAUUUGAAAAUCAUUGUUUAACCAUGAAAUUUACAAAUACAAUUUGAGAUUAUAUAUGAAGAACAACCAAAAUUUUGUUUUCACUAUAUUUUUCCUUUUCAAAACUUUUUGUAAAUAUAUAUUCCUAUUUAAAUUGUAUUUUAUAUUUAAAUCAUGUUUCAUGUUUCUUUAGAAAAAAUACAUUCAAAAAAUCAAAUAUUAUUUAUAAAAAUUGUAACCAAAAUAUGCCACUAGGUUGUUGCAUAUCCCACUUGGUGCCAAACCAGAAGCUUAUAAAAUAGGACACUCAAUUGAGGAUUGAAUAAUCAAAUAUCCCAAAAUGCAAUUGAUUUCCAUUUUUCUUUUCAUAUGUUUCCUCUUUUUGUUAAGGAAAUGGAAAAAGUACUCAAAAUAUAGCCAAACCAAAAAAUUGCCUCCAGGUCCAUGGAAACUUCCUUUUAUAGGAAGUAUGCAUCACCUGGCUGGUGGACUUCCACACCGCGUUCUUAGAGAUUUAGCCAAAAAAUAUGGACCGCUCAUGCACCUUCAACUCGGUGAAGUUUCUGCAGUUGUGGUUACAUCUCCUGAUAUAGCAAAACAAAUAUUAAAAACUCAUGACAUCGCUUUUGCAUCUAGGCCUAAACUCUUGGCCAUGGACAUUAUUUGUUAUGAUAGGUGCGACAUUGCCUUUAGCCCCUACGGUGAGUUUAAGGCGUUUGCCUAAUAUAAUAUUUUCACAAAAUAUUUCUCAUAAUUGGUUUUACAUGUGUUGAUAAUAAUUAGGUAGUAUCUUUAUUUUAUUGUGUCCUACCAAGUUCGUCCUUAUAACAUAAGAAAUUUGGUAA